rnacentral:lncRNA from 1 species
AACCAUUUCACACUCAAAACACAAGUUUUUUUUUUUCCCCCACAAGUCUGGGUGGCUUCUUCUCAGGCACCGCGCUCUUUGUGUGGGGAUUCUUGGGGGUUUUGUUCCAGCUCGUGACUUGGGAGAGAAGCCAAGCCAAUUAGGGGUGAAGUCCAGACCUGCAGAACAUGCUAGUGUUGCCAAGAAGCUUAGACCCUGACCCAGGAUGCAGUGGGCAUGGAAGGACACGGUCCUUGGCUUGAUGGCUUCAUAAUGCUCAGUUCAAAUCCCACCUCUUGGCCACAUGCUGAGUCAAGAUCAGUGGUGAUAAAAUCCUUCCGAUGUGGGAAGUCCGACUCAUCCCUUUCUACCUUCCAUUCCGGUCAAGGCCUGCCAAGAAUCCCACCAUGGACUAAUUUGCAUAAAUCUGCUUCUGAGCACAGCUGGCCUUGCAAUAGGAAAGCGAGUUAUACCCUUUCUCGACUCACCUCUUGCUCCACUGAGUAACUUUUGCACAGCAAGUAAGUCACAUUCCACACAAGGCCAAACAGCUCUUAAUGCUGCUUCUGUAAUUAACUCGCUUUGUUACCCCCCUUGCUGUCUCUUAAUGUAUGGACCUCUGGAUAGGACACCAUUUGCCUUGUCCGACAGGUUGAAUUUAAAACAUGGUAAGUGCCAAUGAGUCAGGGAUUACCGGAGGAGCAAAGAGGUUAUUUUAUGGUCAAGGAAUCAUAGACAAUAUGGAAGGAAGGAAGGCCUACCCCCACGAUUGAGAGUCCGCCGUAGUUCUCCCUCGAUGAGUCUCCACCGUUACGGUAGUCGAGUGGCCAGCAUAGCUUCCUUGGUGAGCCUCUACUGCUAUGGUAACAAAGAAGUAACUCUAAAAUCAUUUAGGAAAUGGGCCAUGACUGGGAGAGUCCAGAGAUCCAGAAGGGCUUGAUGUCUGGGCUAGAGUGUCAGAGAAGAAUCCAGAAAGAGGGAAAUCAGAGCUCCCUUUCAGCAUCUCUGGCUGGAGAACAAAGACAUGGGGUCCUGCCUGGCUAAUUUCAAUCUCCGUUUUCAUCAUUACGAUGACUACAGAGUCUGGUGACCCUACAUUCUGGUCAGAGACCCUGAGUCUAAAGAGCAGCCAAACCACAUUCUGAUUUCCGACCCAGAAAAGAUGUACAACAACGAAGGCCUUAAGCCACUAACAGUAGCUGAUACUUUGUUGUCUAUGGUUUGACUGUGUCCCCUCACCCCGGAUCUGCAGUAACCUAACAGGAAGCCCAGCACAGCUCUGCACUUCCAGUCCCAGGUUGGUGACGACUCGGUCAGUGAUGCUGGCUUCUUUACUCUUUGUUCCCAUUCAGGUCCCCACCCAGUGAACCAGAUCAGUCACAGAAGACACCCUGCCUCCGGCUUCCCCAGCAAGCUCCAAUCUGAGCACGCUGAAGUGGUCCCCACAGCUCUGCUUCUUUAAGUCUUUCCACUUCUUCCUGCUUCUGCGCCUCUGCUGAUUGGCAAAGCACAAUGCUGGUGGCCUUGCUGUGGCAACGAGGUGGAAGCGAAUGGCCUACCUGCUCUUUGUCUCGGGAUUGGGGAUGACUUUUGUUUCUACACAGAGUGAGAUAGCUUCUUGCUGUCAUUUUAGAAGGACAGAGCCAUAUGAGCCUUCAUGGGGAGAAGGGAAGAGGGCUGUGGAAUAAGGUAACCUGUCCUUUUCGAUGAACCCUGGAUUCUUAAAAGAGAGGCAUUGGUUCAGAGUGAAAUGGACAUUCUCCUGGGUCAGGCAGUGACAGACAACAGUAGGCUCUAAGCAGAGUGCUGUCUAUGACCACCUUUCUAACCCCAGAGAAGACGUUAGCAUCUCUGAUCGCCCACAGUGAAAUAUGGAUGAUUCAGCUCCUCCAGGGGUAAAGUGUGUUCUACUGCAGAUGCUGCUGACAUCAUGGGCAACCUACUCCAUCUGUCAUUUCCUCCCAGCAUUCUGCUGUCUCAGGGCUCUUGCUCUCAUCAUGUUUCCCAGCAGAGCCACAGGUGGUAAAGCCAGUUGUCAAGCCAUAGAUGACAAGUGUGACCCCACAAUGCCCAGCCAGGGCAUGAGGGAGGGGUUACCCUAAGGGAGGCCAGGCAGGGGCAUCAGUGCUCAGGAAGAGGGGUUGGCAUACCCUCAAGGUCUAAAGAAUAAGCUUCACUCCACAGAGAAGACAGACCAGUGGUUGGUUAAUUAAUAAACAUCUCUUGUCUCCCAUCUGAUGUGACUUUGGGGUGUACAUCUGUUACUUUUCUGUAGCUGGCACAAAGUGUCCGACAAAAGCAAUUUAAGGAGGGAGGAAUCAAGUUGGCU